CGCGAUCGCCCCCUCUUCCCCUCCCUGUUAAAUACACAAAUAUAUUAUAUUCAAUAUGAAUCGAGUCUGUUUCCAGCAGAAAAAAAACAUACAAAAAAAAGUGGAAGGACUGGGCGCAGGGUAGGAGGGCCGGAGUCCAGUGUGGUUUGCGGCGCCCCUAGGUCCCAGGGCGUGUGCCCAGCCGUCCAAGCGAGGGGGUGUCCGUAAAGGGGCAGGGGACGUUCAGAAGGCGUGUCCCUUGACCCCAAGCAGCAGCUGACAGCCGUUGC
rnacentral:lncRNA from 1 species